CUAGCCGUAAACGAUGGGUACUAGGUGUGGGAGGUAUCGACCCCUUCCGUGCCGGAGUUAACGCAAUAAGUACCCCGCCUGGGGACUACGAUCGCAAGAUUGAAACUCAAAGGAAUUGACGGGGGCCCGCACAAGCGGUGGAGUAUGUGGUUUAAUUCGAAGCAACGCGAAGAACCUUACCUGGACUUGACAUCCCCUGAAUGACUCGUAAUGGAGGAAGCCCUACGGGGCAGGGAGACAGGUGG
rnacentral:rRNA from 1 species